rnacentral:rRNA from 1 species
CGUCGAGAGGGAGACAGCCCAGACCGUCGUCUAAGGUCCCGAAGCGUGUGCUAAGUGGGAAAGGAUGUGGAGUCGCAUAGACAGCCAGGAGGUUGGCUCAGAAGCAGCCAUCCUUGAAAGAGUGCGUAACAGCUCACUGGUCUAGUGGUUCCGCGCCGACAAUGUAGCGGGGCUCAAGCACACCACCGAAGACGCGGCAGCAAUCUUCAUGGUUGCUGGGUAGGAGAGCGUCCUGCGAGGGGCGAAGCGGCGGUGGAAACCGGCCGUGGACUUCGUGGGAGUGAGAAUGCAGACAUGAGUAGCGAGAGACGGGUGAGGAUCCCGUCCGCUGGAUGACCAAGGGUUCCGGGGCCACGUUCGUCGUCCCCGGGUGAGUCGGGUCCUAAGGCGAGGCCGACAGGCGUAGUCGAAUGGAUGAACGGGUGGAUAUUCCCGUACCGACCAUGGACCGGCAAAACCGAGACGGUGAGUACUAACCUCCGCCUCGUGGUGGUUCCUUCCUUCGGGUUGGUAUCGCCGCGUGGUGUUGGGAGCGUAGCCGCAGUAGGUCAGCGCAGGGGUGACACGGAAUGGGAGCCGGCCGCGGAGGUGGUUUUCCGUGGUCAAGCACGCAGCCAGUCAUGUAGGCAAAUCCGCAUGGCGCGCAUGGCGAGGUGUGAUGAUGGGAGCCGUUAUGGCUCGAUAUCCGGUUGUCCAGGCCGUCGAGAAAAGCCUCGGCGUGAGGGCCAUGGCCGCCCGUACCCCAAACCGACACUGGUGGUCAGGUAGAGAAUACCAAGGCGAUCGAGCGAAUCCUGGUCAAGGAACUCGGCAAAUCACUCCCGUGCCUUCGGUAUAAGGGAGACCCGCUGGGGUGAACCGGCUAGCCCGGGGAGCUUUGGUGGGUGGCACAGACCAGGGGGUAGCGACUGUUUACCAAAAACACAGGUGCAUGCGAAGGCGAAAGCCGCUGUAUAUGCACUGACGCCUGCCCGGUGCCGGAAGGUUAAGAGGAUCCGUCAAUCCCUUCGGGGACGAAGCGGUGAAUUCAAGCCCCGGUAAACGGCGGUGGUAACUAUAACCAUCCUAAGGUAGCGAAAUUCCUUGUCGGGUAAGUUCCGACCUGCACGAAUGGCGUAACGACUUCCCCACUGUCUCGACCAGGAGCUCGGCGAAAUUGCAGUACGAGUAAAGAUGCUCGUUAAGCGCAGAAGGACGAAAAGACCCCGGGACCUUUACUAUACCUUGGUAUUGGCGUUAGGCGCGGAUUGUGUAGCAUAGGCGGGAGGCUUCGAAGCGGGUGCGCCAGCAUUCGUGGAGCCGCAAGGUGAAAUACCGCUCUGUUCUCGUUUGACGUCUAACCUCGACAAGUCAUCCUUGUCAGGGACAGUGCCUGGGCGGGUAGUUCAACUGGGGCGGUUGCCUCCCAAAGAGUAACGGAGGCGCUCAAAGGUCCGCUCAGCCCGGUUGGCAA